ACAUCAUACAUCCCUCUUUCUCUCCUUGGUGGAGGAUCAUCAUUGUGCUUGUGGGUUUAGCAGCUCUCAUAGCAGCUGUUGUGGUGGUCAACAUGUGGAUGAGAAUUAAAGGGAACCAAACACAGAGGGAAGACAAUGCUGAGCAGAAUGAUGAGGAUGGAGAUGAAGGUACAGUGACGUAUGAAAACGUUGGAGAACCUUCUGUUUCUAUCAGACUCCACUGAUCAACAACUUCAACAUCAGCAUGAAGUCGUAAAGGAAACGCAUCACAUAAUUUGAAGUGCUUUGUUAGAUAAUGUCAAACUUCUCUUUCAGAUUUAAUCAUUUUAUAUUCAGCACCGACAGCUACGCCAUUGUUUAACUAUUGAGUCUUGAUCUGUAAACAUCAACAGAUUGUUGAUUUUAUCAUUAUCAUUUACACGUUCAAGUUAUUCUUUAAACACAUAGGCUACAUGGUAUGAAGUGUGAUAUAACUGCCGUCUUUUCAGACGUUUAUAUUUUUUUCUGUAAACAUGUUCAUUGGAAGUCUAAUAUGUUUUAUAUGCUUUGCUGUGUGCGCUUGAGUGAGCUUUCAGCUCUAAGAGAGUCUUGUUAGAAUUAUAUAAUCUGCUAAUUAAAAAGUACUUUAUAACCA